UUUGUUCAUGCCCUAACCUUUAGACUUGAUAGACCAGUGGCAGGCAUGCUACUUUUUUAUAAGCAGACAAGCUCGCGUAGCCUAUGCAGCCGUAGGUGUUGGUGUAGAACUUUGCAAAGUUGUUAGCCAUAGGGUUGGCAGCCGGAUACCUUACUUACAGAAGCAGACAAGUCCGCGUAACCACUAGGCUGUUAACCUUGACUUUCUUCAAUUCCGUAGGUUGCGUAGCAAGUAUCACAACACUUUAGGACUUGGUGUAGGUUGUUCCGCACUUGGCAGAGGUG
rnacentral:lncRNA from 1 species